AGCUUGCUCUGUGGGAUCAGUGGCGAACGGGUGAGUAACACGUGAGCAACCUGCCCCUGACUCUGGGAUAAGCGCUGGAAACGGCGUCUAAUACUGGAUAUGUGACGUGACCGCAUGGUCUGCGUCUGGAAAGAAUUUCGGUUGGGGAUGGGCUCGCGGCCUAUCAGCUUGUUGGUGAGGUAAUGGCUCACCAAGGCGUCGACGGGUAGCCGGCCUGAGAGGGUGACCGGCCACACUGGGACUGAGACACGGCCCAGACUCCUACGGGAGGCAGCAGUGGGGAAUAUUGCACAAUGGGCGCAAGCCUGAUGCAGCAACGCCGCGUGAGGGACGACGGCCUUCGGGUUGUAAACCUCUUUUAGCAGGGAAGAAGCGAAAGUGACGGUACCUGCAGAAAAAGCGCCGGCUAACUACGUGCCAGCAGCCGCGGUAAUACGUAGGGCGCAAGCGUUAUCCGGAAUUAUUGGGCGUAAAGAGCUCGUAGGCGGUUUGUCGCGUCUGCUGUGAAAUCCGGAGGCUCAACCUCCGGCCUGCAGUGGGUACGGGCAG
rnacentral:rRNA from 1 species